rnacentral:rRNA from 1 species
GUCCACACCGUAAACGCUGUCUACUAGCUGUGUGUGCCUUUAAGGCGUGCGUAGCGAAGCUAACGCGCUAAGUAGACCGCCUGGGGAGUACGGCCGCAAGGUUAAAACUCAAAUGAAUUGACGGGGGCCCGCACAAGCGGUGGAGCAUGUGGUUUAAUUCGAUGCAACGCGAAGAACCUUACCUACACUUGACAUGCAGAGAACUUUCUAGAGAUAGAUUGGUGCCUUCGGGAACUCUGACACAGGUGCUGCAUGGCU